rnacentral:rRNA from 1 species
AUAAACUGAUCAGCCUCUUCCGUCAGUUUGGUGGCACGGAGUUGCGCCUCAAACUGGUCUGGCUUUGCUGGCUUGAUUUAAUGACCGGAAACAGCCUUGAAGACUGGAAAGAGAACCUGAAACGGAAAUCAGAAAAAGAGCUGGAGGAAUGGAUCAUCAACCGUCAGAGGCAGAGCGCAGCACUGACGGAUCUGAUGGAUCAGUACGUGCUCCUGGCAUACCGCACAACGGUUGACGAUAGCCGCAACUGAUGCCGGUUGCUUCCGGAAGGUGUGACAAAAUACGGAAAUGAUGAUGCUCCCGGCCCCCAUGCUCACCUGCAGAGCGUGUUCGUCGUCAUCAUACUGAGCCAUGACGGGCGUCUUAAGGGCAUCCUGUCAUUGCUGAGCAGGCAACACCACCAGAGGAGCCACGGACAGGGAUGUUCUUUACAGCCCGAUACACGCCAGGUUCUCAGCAGACUGAAUGUGCAGGUGCGGUUAUUCACCAGAAAUGGCAUGCUGCAGUACAUACCCAUCCUGGUGACAAUAUGUACGUGGCGACAGCGAUCCCGGCACUGUGGAAGAGACUCACUCAGCCUGCAGGAUAUUCUUUCCGGCAUCCGGGAAUGUCCGCCUGAAUGCAAACAGGGUGAUAUUUGAAUCCGUAAUACUGUUCUUUCAUCAUAAAUAAUUUAUGCAGAUACAGUUAACCGUUACAGUAGCCGGUUUGUUUUACCGGGAAAUAAUAUCCGUCAGACUGAUGCCGGAACAUAUCUGAAACACGUUAUGAUGUUUUGUUAUCAGAAAUGUUGUAUAUUCUUAUCCGUGGCGACAGUUUAAUGCCCUCUGGUAUCACCUGAUAAUGUAUAUCCUGCGAUGAUUCGUUAUAUUUACGGGACACGCCUCUUUUCAUUGUGCUCCUUUUCAGACUUCAUUUUCCGUAAGUGUUCCCCGGCAUAAAGGAGGUACCUUUCUGGCGUUUAUAACUCUCUUUAUCGGUGACGCCGGUAAUACAGGGAAUACCACACCGACAAACGAGGUAUUAACAGACGAUAUUUCAGUGUCCAUAAUUUUUCUGUCCGGUUAAAUAACGUCAGUCUGCUGCCCUCUGACUGUAAUCAUCAAAGCCGGAAUGCAUACCGGGUUACAACGUAAAAAAAGUGAUGCUGGCCCCCGGCGCAGCUGGCGGGCGAAACAUGUUUACCUUUCAAUACCCCCUGUCUGCAGUCUCCACUCUUCCAUUCUCUUAAGCUACGUCGGCCACAUGAGUGCACUUCCAUGAUAACAGGUAUUCCUGUCAGCAUAACGAAGCCGGUUACCUUCCCUUCCUCCUGCAUUUCCUGUCAGAAUGACUAUACAGCGCGCAGAUUGCCUUUUUAUUGACCAUCUUAAUAUACCAUUAUAAACUUCUUUUUAUCAUAUUAUUAUCACCUUAUUAUGUUUAAUUUUUAAGCAGUCGGAGAAAGAGGAUGGUUCAGAAAAUUUUGUCGGAUAAGGUUAUGAAUGAAAGAACAAAUGCGUAUUAC